CCGGGUGCCCACCGGCCCGAGCCCAACCCUGAAACCGAGGCGAGAGAGAGAGAGGCGGCGGCGGCGAGAUCGAGCUGCGGGUGGCGAGCGGCGAGCGGCGGCCGCCGGCGACCUGCUCUGCUUGUAGGAUUGGGGUGUCUUCCCGUGGGACAACCCCCUCCACCCAAACCCCAACCCCCAGGCCACUCCGAGCGAUCUCGACUUUGCUGUGCUUAAGAGCCUAGCCGCCGGUGGCGCCGCUCCGGGCUAGGGCUAGCCUAUCCCCUCCCGGUCUCCCGUUUCCUGGUGCACACCCGUCUGCGGCUAGCUGCUGCAGCACUCAGGCCACCGCGCGCCCGCCAGUGCCAGCCGGCGGCCUCACGCUUGGCUGAUUGUCUGGAUGGAAUUGAGCUCUACAUGUUUCUUCUUUUUUGAAGGAUCAGCUCUACAUGCUGUUGUUGUUUUUGUUGUUGCAGUGUAUACAAAUUGGACAGAAUUGUAUCAAUGUAUCAGAACUGAACCGCUGAUUUUCUGUAUUUGGCUGCAAUGCAGGUGUUGUGCCAGGAAAAUUCAGUGCCGAGAUGUAUCAUGGUGGAGUUUUUCUUGGGUAUGGCUCAAACCGAAGCUGCAUUUAGGCCGAAAAGUUGAUGCUUUGAUGAAAAGCUUUGUAUGGCUCUCCCUACAGCUGAGUUGAUUGCAGGCCUUUUAAGAAGGGGAGAUGUUGUGAGGGGUAGGGGUAAAAGACACAGACAAGAUUCAUCCUGCAUCCAAAGAGGUAGUGAUCAGCUUCCUGAACUGCCUACAAACUCAAGAGACAGCUGGUCAGACAAGCCUGAGGAUGUAGGUGGUCAAGAAGGUUCGGAUUAUUCGCAAGGAAGAUUUUGAUAAACAAGUGCAACUGGAAGCAGAGAGGAGGAUGAAUAUUUUCCUUCAGCAAAAACAGGAGAAACGACUCAGAGGACAAUUGCUCAAAGAGCAGCAAAAGGCUAAUUUUCAGAGGCAGUAUAAAGAGGAGCCGGCUGCUCUGGAUAAUGAACAUGGUGCUGAUGACACUAUCACAUCUCAAGAUAGUGGGAGCAGAAUCUCUGAUCAAAUUCUGGAUGAGCUGGAGGGCAUUGGCAGUAAGGCAUACAUAGAUGAUGUCGAAUGAAACCAACAGAUGUCAGAUUUCUGAACCUGGUGUGGAGAACAAUGAGUUUACUUCUUCAAGGGCAGGUCAUGAUCAAGACAACACAAUGAGGAGGUGCUCAAGACUUGAACUAUACUGCGCAUGACAGGGCCAUCCACAAUGUCAGGGUGAAAAACUUGGAGAUCGCCAAUGGAGAACUACAUGUAAUACCUAGCUAAAACAUCUGCUUAAUUUGGGUGGAUCCUGGCUAACUCUGAAGAAGCUAACUGGAGAACAUCUGGAAGUGGCACCUGGCUCCCACCUGGACCAAGACGAUGAUUCGCAAGGGUGGAAGAUCACUACGGUUGACCUGGCGAAAUGACCGGCAGAGAACUCACUGGAACUUGUAGCUGAUGGCUGUUGGCUGAAGGUUGUCCCCAAAGCUUGAUUGGCAUGCUUGGCCUCUCUGUUUACUAGUCGCAGUCUGUGCCUAUGUGAUAGUCUGAAAAACUUGUAUAAAUGGCCUGUGUGUUCUA